rnacentral:rRNA from 1 species
UACGUAGGGUGCGAGCGUUAUCCGGAAUCACUGGGUUUAAAGGGUGCGUAGGCGGUCUGAUAAGUCAGUUGUGAAAUUCCUCGGCUUGACCGAGUGGACUGCGAUUGAUACUGUCAGACUUGAAUCAGGUUGAGGUAGGCGGAAUGUGACAUGUAGCGGUGAAAUGCUUAGAUAUGUCAUAGAACACCGAUUGCGAAGGCAGCUUGCUGGGCUUAGAUUGACGCUGAGGCACGAAAGCGUGGGGAGCAAACAGG